GUAGGGUGCGAGCGUUAAUCGGAAUUACUGGGCGUAAAGCGUGCGCAGGCGGUUCUGCAAGUCAGAUGUGAAAUCCCCGGGCUUAACCUGGGAACUGCGUUUGAAACUACGGAGCUGGAGUGCGGCAGAGGGGGGUGGAAUUCCACGUGUAGCAGUGAAAUGCGUAGAUAUGUGGAGGAACACCGAUGGCGAAGGCAGCCCCCUGGGCCGACACUGACGCUCAGGCACGAAAGCGUGGGGAGCAAACAGGAUUAGAUACCCUGGUAGUCCACGCCCUAAACUAUGUCGACUAGUUGUCGGGGAAGCAAUUUCUUGGUAACGAAGCUAACGCGUGAAGUUGACCACCUGGGGAGUACGGUCGCAAGAUUA
rnacentral:rRNA from 1 species